UUUAUUAUAUACUCCUUUCAUUUCAUAAUUCUGAUGUAUCUAUUCCUAAAAGUUGUCUAUAUACAUGUAAUAUUUUGAUAAGAAUUAUGAAACGAAGGGAGUAGUAUAAAAA